rnacentral:rRNA from 3 species
UACGUAGGGUGCGAGCGUUAAUCGGAAUUACUGGGCGUAAAGCGUGCGUAGGCGGUUCCUCAAGUCCGUUGUGAAAGCCCCGGGCUCAACCUGGGAAUGGCAGUGGAAACUAGGGGACUGGAAUCUGGCAGAGGGGGGUGGAAUGCCGCGUGUAGCAGUGAAAUGCGUAGAGAUGCGGCGGAACACCGAUGGCGAAGGCAGCCCCCUGGGCUGAGAUUGACGCUCAGGCACGAAAGCGUGGGGAGCAAACAGG